CACCCAUUGGAUUUUUUAAUGCUGUUCUGUAACCCAGCACCAGUCUUUAUCUUUCCACGAGAAGUUAUGGAUAUACGGCUGAGUAUUAAAUGGAGCGAUGAGAACAUUGUCUGGAUAGGCAAUGAAAAAGCAGGAGGGAUUAUUUGGCUGCUGAGGGAGAAUGCAAACCGACAAAAUGAAGGCCCCCCCCUUCCCAAGUCUUGGAGGCAUCUGUCCCUGGAGGAAAAGGCCCUAUGCUGAUCACCUGAAGCAGAUCGUCUCCUCCAUUGUCCUGUGGGUGCUCCUGGGUGAUGAAGUUCAUCAGCUUCUGCACGCACUGGGCCCUGGCUGACGAAGAGGAGCAGCCUGCGGUUGUGAGCCUUGCCUCUUCCUCCUCCUCCUCCGUCGGCUCCCUCAAUGACACCUCCGGGGUCGGGGUCAGGAUCAGAGAAGACGGGAGAGGACAGUCACAGCGUCGGCACAGGCAGGACGGGACCAGUGAGUAGCAGGAAUGCUGGCCAUAGUGACCCAGGACCGGCAGGUGAGUCGCACCGGACAUUCAGAGAGGGGGCACAACAUUCUGAUGCACAAUGAACCAACUGCACAAAGCUGUUUUGGGGAUGUGGGUCUCGGUCGGGAACUCGUGUGGGGAGUGGAGGGGUGAUCCUUUUUCAGCUGCCCUGUUACACACACAGGCCAAUAAUCCUGCCUAGCAUUUACAUAUAAGCACUUACACGUGCAUGUAUGCACAUACAGACACAUAAACACACUCACUCACACAUACAUGCAUGUACUCGCAUACACACGCAGACAUACACUCCACACAUACACUCACACACACAUAUGUGCACACAUACACACACACGCGCAACCACCACACACCAUCAAAGACACUAAUGUUUGCAUCAUGCUGAUCCAGUAGAAUGUUUAACAACUACCAUUGCACUGAUUCUAUCUGACUAUCUCUUUAUCAAACCUUGUGAUGCUGUGAUUACUGAAUUAAAAAGAAUGCACCUGUUUUUUUGUUUUAUAGUUGUUGCUAAAAGUGAAUGAGAACUCUUGAAGCAGUGUCAAGUUUCUACUUUAAAUGUGGUCAAAAUGUGAAGAUAUUUAUGGUGAUUUGUGAUGUUAUUUUCCUUGGAAUGCAACAGACAAAACUGCCAUUUCACAGUCAAAAUGUUUUCCCUUUUCUGUCCUGAACAUUUUCCAAACUUUUCAGAAGCACUGUAAAUCUUAAACACCUCAUUAAGUGCCCCACUAUUUUAACAGCUCGUUAACAUCACCCGUGCCGAUUAGAAAUUUAAAAAGAGCACAAACCAAAGAUGUUCAUGUCCAGCAUUUCAGGCAAACAAGACUAGAUCUGUCAUUCGGCAGGUGCAGUGUGUCUUCCCAAUGGUGAAGAGGAGCCACGCUUUAGCUGAGACCUGGCCUUCACAGUUCUUUCUCUCAUCGCUUUGCAGUUCUUCUGUCACUCCACAUCUGGUGAACAUCCCUGUCAGCAGGCACUCCGCCACCACUGAGGUCUCUUCAGAGGCAAUUGCAUGUGCAUCCAGUCUCUUUCUUUCAGGUCCAAUAGCAUUUAGCGAUUCCCUCUGUCAGUCAGUGGAAACAGCACAAGAUAUUCACUACCACUUUUUCCUCCAACAUCCCGCUGCAUUGCUUCUGGAGUGGAACCCUUGUCUGGCUACCUAUUCUCUUCUUGAUGGUGUUCAGUAGCCAUUGCAGAGCUGUAUACUUUACUAAGAUUGAUUUCACUGAAAAUGCUUGAUGUAACCUUGAGCUUCAGAUGCAUCAUCCUGCUCUUGAUUGACUCUAUUGUUCUCAUUUGAUCUGCUGGGAUAAAUCCCUUAUAUUUCUGUUACAUCCAUUUUACCUUUACACCAGGCCAGCCAGCGGAGGAUGGGCUCCCCCUCUAUAGCCGGGUUCCUCUCGAGAUUUCUUCCCAAAGGGGAGUUUUUUCUCGCCACUGUUUGGGGAAUUUAUUACCUCAUAUGCUUGCUAUUUGGGGGUUUAGGCCUGGUCUAUCGCCCUUCUCUUACUCUGUAAAGAGUUUUCAUUCCUGUGGGGCACUUUUCUGAACAUAUUCCCAAUGUCAAUGCUUGGAGUAUCUCUUCCAUCAGCCGUUCGAAUGCCAUAGAGCUCUUCAUUCGAAAGGCUUCAUUGUGAAUUCCCACAAUCCUCCGCUAAUACCAAAAGCUGUCUUGCAUGAGUGCCAGGAUCUUUGGUAGGAGAGUCACUGUCCUCGCACACGUGCCAGGACCUUUGGUAGGAGAGUCACUGUCCUCGCACACGUGCCAGGACCUUUGGUAGGAGAGUCACUGUCCUCGCACACGUGCCAGGAUCUUUGGUAGGAGAGUCACUGUCCUCCAGCUAACGUGUGCCAGGAUCUUUGGUAGGAGAGCAACUGUCAUUGUGUAAAUGCCAGGAUCAUUGGUAGGAGAGUCACUGUCAUUGCAUAAUUGCCAGGACCUUUGGUAGGAGAGCCACUGUCGAAGCAUAAGUGCCAGGACACAGCUGAACAGGAUGAAGCAAGAGCCACACAUUGUCCUUGGCUGAAGUGAGUAGAGAUGAAGAUCAGGUACUUGGCUCAGACCAGAAGAAUGAUAAAAAAGGUGUCCUCCAAAGAGGGGGGGGUGGUGGAGGGCAGAAGAC